UUUUCCGCGCCGUAGCUAACGCAUUAAGUGCCCCGCCUGGGGAGUACGGCCGCAAGGCUAAAACUCAAAGGAAUUGACGGGGGCCCGCACAAGCGGCGGAGCAUGCGGAUUAAUUCGAUGCAACGCGAAGAACCUUACCAAGGCUUGACAUGGGCCGGACCGGGCUGGAAACAGUCCUUCCCCUUUGGGGCCGGUUCACAGGUGGUGCAUGGUUGUCGUCAGCUCGUGUCGUGAGAUGUUGGGUUAAGUCCCGCAACGAGCGCAACCCUCGUUCCAUGUUGCCAGCGCGUAAUGGCGGGGACUCAUGGGAGACUGCCGGGGUCAACUCGGAGGAAGGUGGGGACGACGUCAAAUCAUCAUGCCCCUUAUGUCUUGGGCUUCACGCAUGCUACAAUGGCCGGUACAAAGGGUUGCGAUACUGUGAGGUGGAGCUAAUCCCAAAAAGCCGGUCUCAGUUCGGAUUGGGGUCUGCAACUCGACCCCAUGAAGUCGGAGUCGCUAGUAAUCGCAGAUCAGCAACGCUGCGGUGAAUACGUUCCCGGGCCUUGUACACACCGCCCGUCAAGUCACGAAAGUUGGUAACACCCGAAGCCGGUGGCCUA
rnacentral:rRNA from 1 species